GCUCUUUGGAAGCAAAUUUCCAAUCCCUGCUCACUUCUUGCCCCCAACGCUUUUGCUCUUUGACAUUGCUUGCUGCCAUCCUGCCUUCAACCUCAAAUCAGGUUUCUGCCUGUGAUUCAAUCUCUGGCUCCCUAUGAGAAAUCUUUUUUAUAUAAAAUUAAUAUAUAAAUAAAUUUGCUCUUGGAGAGAUGCAGUGUGGAACAGAACCUGCCAGGCUCUCUAACGUCCAUCACAAAGAAAGACUGCAGAGGGGAGGGGGAAGGCAGAGCUUUAUCCUCCAUAGGGAAGCAGAGAAUUCAUAGUGAUCUUAUUGCAGAUGUAAAAUUAGGUCAGCGGCUCUGUAAACUGAUUAAAGCUCAUGCUUCACGCUUCCAAGGAAAACAGCCAAUACAAAAGGGAAUGAUCCCUGGCUCAAGAUGAGAAGGAAGGAGAGCUCUCUAUGUUCGUAGUCCAGCCAUAUAGGAUGCUUGGCCAAAAUGAAGGUAUAGAAAAGGAACAACCAAAGAAAGAACAGGACAUACUGGAUCUUUCUGGGUAUCAUCAAACUUCUCCAUCCAAGAAUAAGGGACAGCAGCAUCUCUUUGACAUCCAUAGCCCAUUUCUGCUUUGCCAAUAUCACUUGUGCAUCUGGGGCCACCAAUGCAUCCUAUCCUAGCAAGUAUCAAUGGGAAUAAAGAAGAAACUUAGAAAACGACAAAAUUCAAGAAGAGCUGAAGCUCUGGAGCUAGCUUUGGUGGAGAAAGAAUGAUGCGGGAUGUUGGACUAAGCGAGAAAUGCAUAAGAAGCUGCUGAGUUUAACACAAAGCCAUAUAGAGGUCAUUUCUAUAGAGCACAAUAAAUACCAUUAUGUGUUAGACGGAUGGAUGGAUCACUUUUCUCCCCUUGCAAGGACCCUGGUCUAACCCCAGAUAUCAUCUCUUGGACUCUGCUAGCAGCCAUGGAAAUAGUACCCUGCUUCCAUCCCCGCCUCUUCUCAUUCCAUUUUUCAAGUAUAGACACAGCUUAAGGGACAAACAAGAUUCAAAACAUGAGAUUUCCAAAAGUAAAUUUUCAAGGUACUCCUAUGGGAAAGCGCCGUUGAGAAUAUCCUUCUCAGGUUUAGCACAGUCCCUCAAGGUAAGCACCUUCAACCCUGCUUCGACUGCAAAGAGUUCUUUAAGAAGGUAUGACUGAGAGGUCUCCGCUUUUCCUUCUUCCUAUUAAAAAUGGCUCUUAGAUGCUUUUAUUCUUAGUGAGGCCAUCCUAUUGUAGCACCAAUAUAGUUAUAUAAGCGCAUCGUUUCAUGCUCUAUUCACCUUCUGAAUCUUUUAACCCCACCUCCCUCAGCUGAGAAAAGAAAUACUAUGGGUUUAAAUCUAUCCUCUAUCAGCUGCAGCACGAUAAUUCUUACCCUAGGGCCCCAAACCCUCAUUUCAGACGGACUAAUCCAAACCUCUUUUGGAGGCAAUGCUAUUUCCUUCACUACCUGGUUUGGCCGUGUGCUGAGCCCCAGUUAUAUUUAGGCAGUGGAGGGGAAAAAUAGGGAUAUUAACCUCUAACACUGAUGAAAAUAAUAGCCACAAUAAAAUCCAGAUGAAAAACGCAGGGGUAGUAAUUAUUCGGCUCUACCUUACCCCAGAGGAAAUAGUUUUCAGAUAGAGCCUUAGAAAUUUGUAAAAGGCUGCUCCAUUUUUUAAUAAGGCAGGUGUAGGGGCUUUCUGGAGGCAGAGGAGGGUUUGCCAGAGUCUCAGACAAUGUGCCAUUAAGUGAUGGGGCCCCCAGUAGAACCCUGCUCCUCUCCCUCAAUUCUGGAGAGGUUGAAAAAUCUGAGGAUGUAGACUCUUGGAGCCACUUCCUUUUUCUGAUCUAUCUGGCAGCAGCCUAGUGUGGAAAAUAUACUAGGCUAUAUUUCAAAUAACCUAAACCAACUGGCAAAAGGUACUAAAUUCUUGCUUUUGUGUCUGGCUCUUAAACUCCUGCAGACCUGACUUAACAGACAAGAGAGGGUCAUAAAACUGAACCUGUGAAACAAAAAUAGACCUUUCGGGACUUCUCAUACACACACAGCAGGGAUGCCAAAAUCGCUUUCAUUUUUUCAUGUUGCAAAUCGCGUUGUGCUUCCUCCACGUCCUCCUGGGUCUGAGCAGGCAUGGGGAGAAGGCGACUUUCUUUGCACAGCAUGUCUAUGACUGAAGUGUGCAGGGCUAGGAGAGCUUAAAUUGUUAGGGUCCCGUCUUUAUGUAAAACAACAACUCCACCUUCCCACAACCUCUCCAUUUCCGUAAUUAAUUUCAGACAGCUAAGACGACAUGCCCCAGUUCUAUGCGCUACUCUAACUGCUGUGGUUUAAAAAAGGCUUUAUGCUUUAAGGUUUCCUCUUUCAGAAAUCAAAUAAUUUAGAUCUUUAAAAAAACAUACACAAGUGCCUUCUGGCUAUCGACGACAGGGAGUAGCAAUAAUAGAAAAUAAUAAUAGUAAAAAUAUGCAACCGCGUUAAUGCCAGGGACCUGGGGAUGCAAUAGACAGAAAUGAAAUUAGAGGGGAAAUCAUAAUAUUGCUGAAGUGCUCGAAUGCGGCUCUCACACUAAGACCAGGGGGAUUGGGAUAAGGUAAAGUUAAUUGCGUUUCCAGAUGACAAACCUCUCACCUCUGAACUGAAUGGCUCUUUAUAAAAGCUAUCAGUAAUAAACUGUAAAUCUCAGCCAUGAUUGCAAAUAAAGGUCAUCCCUUUCAUGCUGCCACUUUCCUAGGCCUUAUUACAUUCCCGCCUGAACCGUUCGCACUUCUUAAGGUGUGCCAGCUGUCCAUAUAAGCAAUCAGUACGGCCUGCUUGCUUUAUUUUUUUUAAGGAACAAUAUUAUCAGAUUUACAUCCAUGCACAUUGUGUACCUGAAUUGGGCCA
rnacentral:lncRNA from 1 species